rnacentral:rRNA from 1 species
UCCUACGGGAGGCAGCAGUGAGGAAUCUUCCACAAUGGGCGAAAGCCUGAUGGAGCAACGCCGCGUGAAGGAUGAAGGCCUUCGGGUUGUAAACUUCUUUUAUGAGUGAAGAAUAUGACGGUAACUCAUGAAUAAGCACCGGCUAACUACGUGCCAGCAGCCGCGGUCAUACGUAGGGUGCAAGCAUUAUCCGGAGUGACUGGGCGUAAAGAGUUGCGUAGGCGGUUUAAUAAGUGAAUAGUGAAACCUGGUGGCUCAACCAUACAGACUAUUAUUCAAACUGUUAAACUCGAGAAUGGUAGAGGUAACUGGAAUUUCUAGUGUAGGAGUGAAAUCCGUAGAUAUUAGAAGGAACACCGAUGGCGUAGGCAGGUUACUGGGCCAUUUCUGACGCUAAGGCACGAAAGCGUGGGGAGCGAACCGGAUUAGAUACCCGGGUAGUCCACGCCGUAAACGAUGGAUACUAGCUGUUGGAGGUAUCGACCCCUUCAGUAGCGAAGCUAACGCGUUAAGUAUCCCGCCUGUGGAGUACGGCCGCAAGGCUAAAACAUAAAGGAAUUGACGGGGACCCGCACAAGCGGUGGAUUAUGUUCUUUAAUUCGAUGAUAACCGAAGAACCUUACCAGGGCUUGACAUCCAGGGAAGGUCUGCGAAAGUAGACUGUGCCUUUUGGAACCCUGUGACAGGUGAUGCAUGGCCGUCGUCAGCUCGUGUCGUGAGAUGUUAGGUUAAGUCCUUCAACGAGCGCAACCCUUGUGAAUAGUUGUAUUUUUCUAUUCAGACUGCCCCGGUAACGGGGAGGAAGGAGGGGAUGAUGUCAGGUCAGUAUUUCCCUUACGUCCUGGGCUAGAAACGUAAUACAAUGGCUAGUACAAUGCGCAGCGAAGCCGCGAGGUGAAGCAAAUCGCAUCAAAGCUAGUCCCAGUUCGGAUUGUAGGCUGAAACUCGCCUGCAUGAAGUCGGAAUCGCUAGUAAUCGCAAAUCAGCAAGUUGCGGUGAAUACGUUCCCGGGUCUUGUACACACCGCCCGUCAAACCAUGAAAGUGACCAACACCCGAAGUCCGAUUCGUCGGCCUAAGGUGGGGGGCAUGAUUGGGGUUAAGUCGUAACAAGGUAUCCGUACCGGAAGGUGCGGAUG